rnacentral:tRNA from 1 species
GGCCUGUUAGCUCAUUUGGUUAGAGCGUCGUGCUAAUAACGCGAAUGUCGUGGGUUCGACCCCCACAUGGGCCA